AACCAUUCUCACCUGCGGCUAGACCUGCGGAGGGAUCAUUACUGAGUGAGGGCCUUCGGGCUCGACCUCCAACCCUUUGUGAACACAACUUGUUGCUUCGGGGGCGACCCUGCCGUUUCGACGGCGAGCGCCCCCGGAGGCCUUCAAACACUGCAUCUUUGCGUCGGAGUUUAAGUAAAUUAAACAAAACUUUUAACAAUGGAUCU
rnacentral:misc_RNA from 1 species